GGAGGGGUGGCAGAGCGGUCGAAUGCGGCGGUCUUGAAAACCGCUGUGGGCGCAAGCUCACCGUGAGUUCGAAUCUCACCCCCUCCG
rnacentral:tRNA from 1 species